rnacentral:rRNA from 1 species
UGACGAAGCGACGCCGCGUGCGGGAAGAAGGCCUUCGGGUUGUAAACCGCUGUCGGGAGUUAAGAAAUGCAAGGAUGUUAAUAGCGUUCUUGCUUGACUAAGGCUCCGGAGGAAGCCACGGCUAACUCUGUGCCAGCAGCCGCGGUAAUACAGAGGCGGCAAGCGUUGUUCGGAAUUAUUGGGCGUAAAGAGCACGUAGGCGGCUAUGUAAGUCGGUUGUGAAAGCCUUCCGCUCAACGGAAGAACAGCAUCCGAUACUGCAUGGCUUGAGUGCGGGAGGGGGGAGUGGAACUUCUGGUGGAGCGGUGAAAUGCGUAGAUAUCAGAAGGAACGCCGGCGGCGAAAGCGACUCUCUGGCCCGCAACUGACGCUGAGUGUGCGAAAGCUAGGGGAGCAAACGGGAUUAGAUACCCCGGUAGUCCUAGCCGUAAACGAU